rnacentral:misc_RNA from 1 species
AUGCCUCCAACAACAAUAACAACAUCUACUCCCAGCGCUACCUCUCCUGAAAAUAUCUCCACUUCAUCACCAAUAGAUGGUGCCACAACAACACAAGAUGUUAUCAAAAACAAGGAAUUCGAUGAAAGGAAAUCAGAAAAUGAAAUAAAUAAGAAUUAUAUUACUCCUGACACAAAACAUAAGCAUCGUAGCAAAAACAAUCAUCUGAAAGAUAAUGUUAAAAAUACUGAAGAUAUCCAUCCUGCCCCAAUACAAACAAUAGAUGGAGUUACUACCUCAAAGAUGCCCAGUGAAACCAUAGCAACAGAGAUUAGUAAAACAGUUACUAUAGCUACAGUACCAUCAACAAGCAAUCAACUUGAAAUAACUAAUGAUAGUGAAUUUAAAAAUACUCAAUAUAAAGAAGCAACUACUUCUGCUCCAACUAGACAUGUUACAUCUGCAACAGAAGAUACAUUAAAUGUUGAUAGUUUGGAAGUCAAUGAUUUUGAAUGGCUCCCUUUAAACUGGGCAAAGUGUACACGGCCCUGUGGCGAGGGAAUAAAGAAGAGAGAGGUUAUAUGUGCCAGUAAACUGCUUCAAAGUGAGGUGGAGGCUUCCAAAUGCUCCUCUCUACCUGCUGUUCCUAAUACACAGCCAUGUAAUGUUGAACCUUGCGUUGAGUGGGAGAUGUCAGAGUGGAGUACGUGUUCAAAGACAUGUGGUCGAGGAUCACAGGAGAGAGAAGUGACCUGCCCUAUACCCAACAUGUGUGAUGAUGAGAUGAAACCACAGACUGUACAGCUAUGUGAACUACAGGCCUGCUCAAGAUGGGUCAGUGGACAGUGGAGCAAGUGUACCAGAACAUGUGGAGGGGGCAAUCAGAUCCGCCAUGUACAAUGCGUAGACAACAGCAACAAUACUCCAACUACAGGCUGUGAUCCACAGCACCAACCUAAAACAUCAGCCAGAUGUAACACAGCUGCUUGUACACAUCAUAAAUCAGCUCACCUCAACACAGGCAAAUUCCAGUGUAGAAGGAAUACAAUGAGCAAUCACAUAUGUGGUGCCUUAAAACGAUUUGGACAAUGUCAACAAAGAUAUGUACAACUAAAAUGUUGUCGGACUUGUAAUAGCCACAGAUACCAUAGAACUAAGUCUAGGCUUAGAACUAGGACGACGUGAGGAGAGGAUUUUAUAGAUUUAAAUUAAUAUUAUGAUUGGUUUAUAUCAGUCUCAAGCUAUAUAUGUAUAUUAGUAUUAUGUAUAUGGAACAGACACCCCUCUCCAGGGGAAUAAUGGACUAGUCCCAUUGUUGAAACAGUGAAGUGGAAUAUUCCAUGUUGUGUAGUUUGGCCCAUGAGGGGUGUGAGAUUCGCCAACCCAAUAUGGGAAAACCUUUGAGUUGUGAAGAGAGAACUGAAUUUAGUUUGUACUGCAUUUAUAAUAGAAAUAAUAUUUAAAGUGACAUAUAGAUGGCAUAAUGAACUAGUAACAUUUUAAGGUUAAAAAGGAGAAUAAUACUACAUAUAGUAGAUGUACCUAUGCAAUUUGAAGCCAUUAAAUGACUAUUUAUUCUUCUCAUGACUUGUUUAAUAAAGCCUUGACUGCAGAUCGAUCAAUGUAACAAUGAUAUCAGGUUCUAAUUCACAUAAAGUCGUGAUGUUUUAUCUUCUUUUCAUACAGAAUGUGUACAUUAAUUGAUGAUGUUACACAUCAAGUGAUGAUGUCAUUACAUUCUUGAAAUUCAAGUCAAGUCAUAAUGUUUCACAUUAGUCAUGAUGUCUUUGUCAUCUUGAAAUGUACAUUAAAUCAUAAUGUCAUUACCUUUAUGUAAUAUAAGUAAAGAAUGAUAUCACACAUAAAGUCAUAAUGUCAUUUUAUAAAUGUUAAUCCUAACAUGACACUAUUGAAGGGUAGAGUGAGUAUGAGUACACGUCAUGAAAAUUAUGCUUGUAAUGUUAUUGAGUGGUGGAAAAGACAAGAUUUGUCAAAAGUGAACACUACAAAAAUUGUUUAUUUAUAACCCUCUUCCUCAAUAAAUAGAAUCAUACAGUUCUUAAAGGCCCCAUACAAAAUCUGAAAAUGUGGUUUAAACUUUAUAUGGGGCC